AACACUCAUUAAAAACCAGCACUAUGUAUGAGAGCUGUGCCACUGCUCUCUCUGUAACUGGCAGCGCUUGCUUAAGGCUCCUAAGAUUGGCUCCUUAUGGGGUUGGCUUUUUCAUGAGCUUCGGUGUGAGAAACAGGUCUCAGUCAUGAGCCAGCUACUGAACUGUCUUAGUCUUCCUCACUGUGGCUAAAAACAGACUGAUAUGAGGAAAUGGAUGGGAACUAGAGUAAGCGCGUCUCUCCACUUCCUGAACAGGGUUUAAUUCCAACAGUGACAUCAUAUUACAAGACCAAAGAGAAGAAUACAAAGAAGGAAAUGAAGAAAUGUCCAGAUAAUGACAAGAACUUUGAAAUGGCACUACUGUUUUCUAAUACCAUAGAUGUACUAGAAUUACACCUAGCAAACUAGAUACAGAUACUUUGCAUCUAAUAUAACAGAGGUGGUUGUUUCUAGCAUUUGCUUCAAUGCAAAAGGUGGAAAGAUCUGCCAAAACAUCAUAUUCGACAAAAUCAUUAGAAGUGUGUUGUAGAUAGGCUUUGCAAAACCUUUUUGUGUUGAUCUUCCUUGGGUGAGCAUUCUGGAAAGAGAAGACCUGGUAGUUUACACAGAGCUCCCAAGUUGCCAUCACACUAAAGACAGAAUACAAGUUUACUGAUACAGACACAGAAAGGCUAUAAGUCGCCGCCUUCCCCUGCAGCUUUUCAAUAGAGCAACUUUUGAAACAAUAGAAUGACAUGCAAUUCUAACAGGAGGAUGGAUCUUGGUAAUUUCAAAUAUUUCAAUCUAAAGAAAAAGGCACAGAAGUAAGAGCAGAUAUGAAGAAAACAUGCAAAACAGGGAUCUAUGCAGAUGAUGACAAGAUUAUGAAGUCCUCCUCAGCAGCUAAAAGGUCAGGUAUUUAUGAAUUUUUUAUACAUUAAAAAUGGAUACCAGCAUGACCUCAUUAAAGAGCUAAUAUUAGUAGAAAAGGAUAGGUCAGUGUCAAAAGCAAUGUCUGAUUCCCAGUACAAGGUACCUGGCUUAAUCGACUUUUGUCAACCUCAACAAAACAUGAGUACAGGCUGGAUACAGGCUGUCACUCCCAAUUAACACAACCUUCGAGUUUGUCCUUGUUUAGUGUCAAGAAAUUAUAACACAUCCUCAAAGAGACAGUCGUUAGACAGUAGUGUCGCAUUCACACCUGUCUCAUACACAAACCAAUGUGACUACUUAUUACUGUUGCCAUUCCAGUUUUGGUCAGUUUUUACCUUUAUCUUUUAUUUUCAUGCCAGAACGGCCACCUUUGGAAGCCAACCAAGGAAAUGAACACCUCCUUUCCCUAACCAAAUAGCAUAACAUUAGCCAGAGUAAAAGAAAAUGCACCAAAAACCACCAGUGCUCAUUGGUGAUCUAGAAAUAUGAUCUUGGUCAACGACCAACACUGGAGGCCUCUCACAGACGAGUUUGACUUCCAUAUGCAUCUGUGUUGGCUCCCCAAAACUCCACCUACUGAAAGGUGUCAACCAGCAAGUGUGUCAACCAGCAAGUGCUUACUCGGCAAUGGGACAUGCAUAGCACAUGGCAGAUGCUCCCAAGACAAUUGUUUAUCUCCCCUACAGAUAUGCUCAGGCAGAAAUGGUCCUGGAGUUAUGCAUAGAAAGAACAUCAAAUGCUGAGAUGAAGCUUGUCUUCUGACUAGUUCGUCUUUUUAUUUUAUUUUUUAUCUCUUUAGCGUCCAGAGGUUGAAUCAAUUCCCAAAGUUCAGUGCAAUUUUUAGAGUUUAUACGCAUUCCACCGUUCUGAAGGAACAGAGUACAAAAAUCUGGUAGAGUGAAUCAAACUCAUAAAACUGGGACUGCAAAAUGCCACCGCUGCCCCCAGUUCCUCAUACUCUGAUUCUAGCAGUUGAGGGGAUUCCAGGUCCAUUAACACACAUGUGUUUUUAUUUUUUUACUAGAGGUCAGUGGUAAAAUUCCCUUUGGUGCUGCAGAUCUGUGUGCAGAAAUGCGAACGAUAGGAAGAUCUGGCUGGGCGCAUCCUAUUUAAUUUACACUAUGCCUGGAUCUGUCAGGUCCUAAAGAAAGAUGCAGCCCAGGAGAUUUGGGAACUUCCUAAUGUGAAUGGAGUUGGCAGCCCACAUUCUUGGCUUCCACUGAUUACAGCUUCAGUUUCUGACCCCCAGGAGGCCAAACCAGCAAGAGGAAAAUGCAUAUAGUAAAUGUUGAGACCUACGUCCAUAAUGAAAGUGCCCCCCUUUCAUCACACUGGUUCCUGUCUUCUGGCAAAGUCUACUGCUUAGAGUUAAUGCCCUCCCUCUAGCAUGGAAUUGAAGAAAAAUAUCAAAAUCUCACAUCAACCCAACAAUAGAAGGAAUUGUUUAAAACAAUAUGGCUUGUAUAAGAUUACCUAUUGGCAACCCUUUUAAGUCAGGUUUUUGGAUAACAUUUAAUUCAAUGGGGAAACACUCAAAAUGCUAAGUUAGAAAGUAGGAUGCAAAAUUGUAUUUUAUAACAUAGUCACAAAAAAGUGUUAAAUGGUUACGUCUGUAUGGUGAGAUUAAAGGUGAUUUUAAUUUUU